rnacentral:ncRNA from 1 species
AUCAGGGGCCCUGGCAAGGGCCUUCGGGUCGACGCUUGCAACUACCCUGCGAGCCGAUUCGUGUCUGUACCGCCCACAAGGUGUGUUUGACGAGGUUGCGACUGGAACGAAGUUGUCCCGAGGGACGGAAGCGUAACUAGGUAACCCGGCAUCACUCUGAGUUCGUAUGGAGGCCCACGACGCCCGAAUGCGCCCGCAGUUCGCCCCUACCUGCUCACUUUCC